rnacentral:tRNA from 1 species
GCGGACAUGGCGAAAUUGGUAGACGUGUCAGGUUUAGGUCCUGAUGAGAGAUUUUCUCUCGUGGGGGUUCAAAUCCCUUUGUCCGCA